CAAAUUCUCCUUAUCCCCUCCCAGACCAGGAGCUCUAGGGGCGGUGUCUUUCUCCCUCCAGGGCCAAACUGAGCCUCUGCCCCCCAGCAGGUUCACUUGUCUCUCCAGCAAGAGCGGAAGCUUCCUGAGGGCAGGCACUGUUUCUAUUGUCCGUUUAACCAGUACAGUGCCUGGUACACAGUAGGAAGGAUCUCCAAGCACAGCCAAGGUGGUGUCUGUGGUUCCCCACCGCUCAGGAUCCCAGAUGCUCAGGGUUGGAAGGGACCUUAUGGAGUCUGAGCCCUGCCCAAUGCGGGUCUCCUGUACUACAGCCAAACGAUGCAGCCACAUCUUGAGGACCUCCAGUGAUGGGCAGCACACCACCCACCAAGGUCAUCUUGGCCAGGCCCCUGCCUCAAGGUUGGAUUGUGCCCCCCUGGCCCUCUGGAGAAGCUUCCUGCCCCGCAACCCCAGGACCAGAUCUAUGAAUAGGGAAAGAGUUCGUGACCAAAGAAGAUAGAGAAGUCCACAGGAGGUCAAAUGGAUAAUUUGGGCUACAUAAAAUUCAAAAGUAUUUGCACAAACAAAACCAAUUCAGCCAAAUUAGAAGAGAAGUAGGAAACUGGGUCACUACUGGAUGUUUCCAGCUACUGCUGGGCUCUAGUUCUAGGUCAGUCCCAAAGUUUACUCCUUACCCCUCAGGACAUCAGUGUUGGGUUGCUGCAACACUCAAGCUGAAUUCUACUCCUAAAUUGCUAAGGCAUGGAUGCUCUGCUUCCUCUACCUAGAAUAGAAAAGCAUAAAUGAAAGGGCCAAGAAGACCCCAUUUCUCUCCUCAGAGACGGAAGUCUCCAUAGAUCUUCCCUUACACCAUUGGCUAACCCCUCACAUCACCAGGGUUCAGUUGAAAAUAAUGAAAGCAAAGACAUGGACAGUGCUGACUCAAACCUUUUGGAAGAGGCUAACAGUUCUGGCUACACAGCCAGUUGAAAAGGACUCCUCCCAACUAUGCAAUUAGUCAACUGGAAACAGUUACAGAAUGUCCACACAUGCUCCAGUGUCUCUCCAAGACACUGCCUUUACCUGCCAUGAUUCCCCCAGAAGAAGCUCUCAAGUGGAGAGAUGCCAUCUGCUCUCAAGAGUCUUCCACAUGGAGACACACACCAUCUGAGGCACCAUGAGCAUGUGCCAGAUCCCCAUUACAAUUUUUUCCCAAAAAACCCCCCAACUC